UACGGGGGGGAGCAAGCGUUGUUCGGAUUUACUGGGCGUAAAGGGCGCGUAGGCGGCGCAACAAGUCACUUGUGAAAUCUCCGGGCUUAACCCGGAGCGGUCAAGUGAUACUGUCGUGCUAGAGUGCGGAAGGGGCUACUGGAAUUCUCGGUGUAGCGGUGAAAUGCGUAGAUAUCUGGAGGAACACCUGCGGCGAAGGCGGGUAGCUGGGCCGACACUGACGCUGAUGCGCGAAAGCCAGGGGAGCGAACGGG
rnacentral:rRNA from 1 species